rnacentral:snoRNA from 1 species
UGGUCAUUACCAAGGAUACUAGGAAAUACCAUUUCUGGUAUGCUGUGGACAUGACCAUAAAGCAACUCCAUCAGCUUUUGGGAUCGCUACUUUAGUAGCACUAAAUCUGUUGGAAACAAAG